UUAGUAGUGGUAGGUAACGCCUACCAAGCCGAUGAUCUUAGGGGCCUGAGAGGUGAUCCCCCACACUGGUACUGAGACACGGACCAGACUCCUACGGGAGGCAGCAGUGAGGAAUAUUGGACAAUGGGUUAGCGCCUGAUCCAGCCAUCCCGCGUGAAGGACGACGGUUCUAUGGAUUGUAAACUUCUUUUAUAUAGGGAUAAACCUACUCUCGUGAGAGUAGCUGAAGGUACUAUAUGAAUAAGCACCGGCUAACUCCGUGCCAGCAGCCGCGGUAAUACGGAGGGUGCAAGCGUUAUCCGGAUUUAUUGGGUUUAAAGGGUCCGUAGGCGGGCUUGUAAGUCAGUGGUGAAAUCCGGCAGCUCAACUGUCGAACUGCCAUUGAUACUGCAAGUCUUGAGUAAAUUAGAAGUGGCUGGAAUAAGUAGUGUAGCGGUGAAAUGCAUAGAUAUUACUUAGAACACCAAUUGCGAAGGCAGGUCACUAUGUUUUAACUGACGCUGAUGGACGAAAGCGUGGGUAGCGAACAGGAUUAGAUACCCUGGUAGUCCACGCCGUAAACGAUGAUUACUCGUUUUUGGGGCGCAAGUUUCAGAGACUAAGCGAAAGUGAUAAGUAAUCCACCUGGGGAGUACGUUCGCAAGAAUGAAACUCAAAGGAAUUGACGGGGGCCCGCACAAGCGGUGGAGCAUGUGGUUUAAUUCGAUGAUACGCGAGGAACCUUACCAAGGCUUAAAUGGGAAUUGACAGGCUUAGAAAUAGGCUUUUCUUCGGACAAUUUUCAAGGUGCUGCAUGGUUGUCGUCAGCUCGUGCCGUGAGGUGUUAGGUUAAGUCCUGCAACGAGCGCAACCCCUGUCACUAGUUGCUAACAUUAAGUUGAGGACUCUAGUGAGACUGCCUACGCAAGUAGAGAGGAAGGUGGGGAUGACGUCAAAUCAUCACGGCCCUUACGCCUUGGGCCACACACGUGCUACAAUGGACGGUACAGAGGGCAGCUACCAGGUGACUGGAUGCAAAUCUCGAAAGCCGUUCUCAGUUCGGAUUGGAGUCUGCAACUCGACUCUAUGAAGCUGGAAUCGCUAGUAAUCGCGCAUCAGCCAUGGCGCGGUGAAUACGUUCCCGGGCCUUGUACACACCGCCCGUCAAGCCAUGGAAGUUUGGGGUACCUGAAGUCGGUGACCGUAACAGGAGCUGCCUAG
rnacentral:rRNA from 1 species